GUAGGGAAUAUUGGGCAAUGGAUGCAAGUCUGACCCAGCCAUCCCGCGUGCCGGAAGAAGGCCCUCAGGGUUGUAAACGGCUUUUGACGGUGAAGAACCGACAGGAUGCGUCCUGUUUUGACGGUAGCCGUUGAAUAAGCACCGGCUAACUCCGUGCCAGCAGCCGCGGUAAUACGGAGGGUGCGAGCGUUGUCCGGAUUUAUUGGGUUUAAAGGGUGCGUAUGCUGGAAGGUCAGUCAGCGGUGAAAAGCUAUCGCUUAACGAUAGUCUUGCCGCAGAUACUUCCUUUCUUGGAUGAGGAGGAGGCCACUGGAACGGAUGGUGUAGCGGUGAAAUGCAUAGAUAUCAUCCAGAACACCGAUUGCGAAGGCAGGUGGCUGUACCUUAAUCGACGCUGAUGCACGAAAGCAUGGGGAGCAAACAGGAUUAGAAACCCCAGUAGUCC
rnacentral:rRNA from 1 species